UUACAGGUAGGUUUUAUUAGAAGCACUCAUAAUCGCUUGGUCGCUGGUUCAAGUCCAGCAGGGGCCACCA
rnacentral:tRNA from 1 species